GCAGUAGUAGUUCAGUAGUAGAAUUCUCGCCUUCCACGCUGGAGACCUAAGUUUGAUUCCCAGCUAAUGCG
rnacentral:tRNA from 1 species